UACAAAAGGAAGGAGCCCCUGCCCAAGUCAACUACCUGGAGAUGUUUGGUUGCCUGCUUUGCUGCCUACAAAAGCAGUAAGGCUGUAGGAAUCCACAAGAAUCUGUUGGGAACACAUUUGAUGCAUCUUAUCUAUUCAGGCCCAAAGUACCAAGAAAAAUGUCCGACACCACUGUGGAUGUAAACCGGACUGCUGUCUUGCAUGCAGGGAAUUGUCCAAUUGGAGUACAGGAUUGUCAAGAGUAAGGAGUCUAAAGGAUUACUGCACUUCUCUCAUAUCACCCCAUAUCCUUGGAACAGGCCUCCUCUUCACCUGCCUUCUCUUCCUUCAAAUCUGUCUCUACUGCAUAC